UACGUAGGGUGCAAGCGUUAAUCGGAAUUACUGGGCGUAAAGCGUGCGCAGGCGGUUGUGCAAGACCGAUGUGAAAUCCCCGGGCUUAACCUGGGAAUGGCAUUGGUGACUGCACGGCUAGAGUGUGUCAGAGGGGGGUAGAAUUCCACGUGUAGCAGUGAAAUGCGUAGAGAUGUGGAGGAAUACCGAUGGCGAAGGCAGCCCCCUGGGAUAACACUGACGCUCAUGCACGAAAGCGUGGGGAGCAA
rnacentral:rRNA from 1 species